GACCUACCCACUCAAAUUACCGAGAACAAUGAAGAUAGAAGUUGUGCAAAGGUAAUGAGUUGGUCAUCCCAGGUCGGUCGUAGGAUAGUAGUAAGGCUUUCAAACUAUAGAAAGGUUCGUGUGAUGGGCUAUUAGCUCAGGUGGUUAGAGCGCACCCCUGAUAAGGGUGAGGUCCCUGGUUCGAGUCCAGGAUGGCCCACCUGAAGAUAAUUAGUAAUUGCUAAUCCGUAAUUCGUAGUUAAUUACGAAUUAAGAAUUACGAAUUACGAAUUACGAAUUAUUUGGGGGGGUUUAGCUCAGUUGGUAGAGCGCCUGCUUUGCAAGCAGGAUGUCAGGAGUUCGAGUCUCCUAACCUCCACCUGUAGAAUAGAGAAGGGAAAAGUCUAGCACCUGAAGGUAAAGAAUCGGGCUGCUGGGUAUAAUUCCAGCCAGAACCUUGAAAACUGCAUAGAGAAGCGAAAGUAUGGUAGUUCGGUGUUGACUCAACAGUGAACAGUAAUCUGAAAAAAAGAGAACUGAGAACACAAGAGUGAACACAAAACAGACAUGAAAGUAGUGAGAAGUG
rnacentral:misc_RNA from 1 species